rnacentral:rRNA from 1 species
UACGUAGGAGACGAGCGUUGUCCGGAGUUACUGGGCGUAAAGGGUGCGCAGGCGGUCGUGCAAGUCGCGUGUGAAAGCCCCCGGCUCAACUGGGGAGGGUCACGCGAUACUGCUCGACUUGAAGGCAGGAGAGGGAAGUGGAAUUCCCGGUGUAGUGGUGAAAUGCGUAGAUAUCGGGAGGAACACCAGUGGCGAAGGCGACUUCCUGGCCUGUUCUUGACGCUGAGGCGCGAAAGCUAGGGUAGCAAACGGG